CAACCCCUCAAGCUCAGCUUGGUGUUGGGGCCUGCCGCACUGGCAGCCCUUAAAAUCAGUGGCGGUGCCAUCUGGCUCUAAGCGUAGUAACUUUUCUCGCUACAGGGUCCAGGUGAGUGCUUGCCAUCAACCCAAUAUUUUCUAUGG
rnacentral:misc_RNA from 1 species